ACAAGUCUGGCUCAAGACAUGAACUGAAAACUUCUACAAAUGUGAAGCACUGCAGCCAUGACAAACCACCAUUCAUCUGCAGGUCUAGUCGAAAAAAUGAAAAUAAGCACACAAUAAGGCCGAAAUGAAGGAUAACAAAUAAAAUAACAAAUUACCAAUGACAUAUACCAGGGAGCGUAGUAGUCCUUGUCUGAAUUUGUUCAUCUCCUUUGUCAGAGAUGCUUGCAAAUGAGAACAGACAAAAACGAGUCCGAAUGGAUCACAUCCAUGACCGCUUGCUACCACUAAAACCAAAAUCCCAAUACACCUAAAUCUCAUCGCCGCUAGCAGCCGUGGAAGCAAGGAGCCCGUAGUCGACAGGCAAGCCAAGCUAGCGCCGACGGCCAGAUCAGCGGCAGAGAGCCGAGAGCCGAGGGGCUGAGCCACCGAAAGGUCGAGUAGCUGAGAGACACAGAGAGAGACUGAGCGAUAACAGCGGCAGCUGCUUGGCGCCGCCGGCCUAUUCGCGCAGGCUCCAACAGCCGGCGGCAGGCACACCAGGCGGUGGCGCCGGCACUAGUCGGUGCGUGGAGCUGUCGCGAGACAGAGGCGAGGCGAAGCGACAGGGAG
rnacentral:lncRNA from 1 species